CACUCUGCGGGAGGCAGCAGUGGGGAAUUUUGGACAAUGGGCGAAAGCCUGAUCCAGCAAUGCCGCGUGUGUGAAGAAGGCCUUCGGGUUGUAAAGCACUUUUGUCCGGAAAGAAAUCCUUGGCUCUAAUACAGUCGGGGGAUGACGGUACCGGAAGAAUAAGCACCGGCUAACUACGUGCCAGCAGCCGCGGUAAUACGUAGGGUGCGAGCGUUAAUCGGAAUUACUGGGCGUAAAGCGUGCGCAGGCGGUUUGCUAAGACCGAUGUGAAAUCCCCGGGCUCAACCUGGGAACUGCAUUGGUGACUGGCAGGCUAGAGUAUGGCAGAGGGGGGUAGAAUUCCACGUGUAGCAGUGAAAUGCGUAGAGAUGUGGAGGAAUACCGAUGGCGAAGGCAGCCCCCUGGGCCAAUACUGACGCUCAUGCACGAAAGCGUGGGGAGCAAAGAGGAUUAGAAACCCGGGUAGUCC
rnacentral:rRNA from 1 species